rnacentral:ncRNA from 1 species
AUCCGAAAGGGCAACCCCUUCGGGAGGAGGGGGCGCAAAGCCACGGGCCCAGAAAGGGCAGCCGGGCUACCGAAG